ACCACUGAGCCACCUUCCCAGCCCCUAAAGAAUAUUUUGAAAAUAUGGGCUGGGAAGGUGGCUCAGUGGU
rnacentral:pre_miRNA from 1 species